rnacentral:rRNA from 1 species
AACGAACGCUGGCGGCAUGCCUAACACAUGCAAGUCGAACGAGACCUUCGGGUCUAGUGGCGCACGGGUGCGUAACGCGUGGGAACCUGCCCUUAGGUUCGGUAUAACUCCCCGAAAGGGGUGCUAAUACCGGAUAAUGUCUUCGGACCAAAGAUUUAUCGCCUUUGGAUGGGCCCGCGUUGGAUUAGCUAGUUGGUAGGGUAAAAGCCUGCCAAGGCGACGAUCCAUAGCUGGUCUGAGAGGAUGAUCAGCCACACUGGGACUGAGACACGGCCCAGACUCCUACGGGAGGCAGCAGUGGGGAAUAUUGGACAAUGGGCGAAAGCCUGAUCCAGCAAUGCCGCGUGAGUGAUGAAGGCCUUAGGGUUGUAAAGCUCUUUUACCCGGGAUGAUAAUGACAGUACCGGGAGAAUAAGCUCCGGCUAACUCCGUG